GACGAACGCUGGCGGCGCGCUUAACACAUGCAAGUCGAACGGAAAGGCCCUGCUUUUGUGGUGUGCACGAGUGGCGACCGGGUGAGUAACCCGUGAGUAACCUGCCCCUGACUUUGGGAUAACUUCAGGAACCUGGGGCUAAUACCGGAUCGGAGCUCCUGCUGCAUGGUGGGGGUUGGAAAGCUUCGGCGGAUGGGGAUGGACUCGCGGCUUAUCAGCUUGUUGGUGGGGUAGUGGCUUACCAAGGCUUUGACGGGUAGCUGGCCUGAGAGGGGGACCGGCCACAUUGGGACUGGGAUACGGCCCAGACUCCAACGGGGGGCAGCGGUGGGAAAUAUGGCACAAGGGGCGGAAGCCUGAGGCAGCAACGCCGCUGGCGGGAGAACGGCCUUCGGGUUGUAAACCGCUUUCGCCUGUGACGAAGCGUGAGUGACGGUAAUGGGUAAAGAAGCACCGGCUAACUACGUG
rnacentral:rRNA from 1 species